UGAUUAGUAGGAUAAAGGUUCUG
rnacentral:piRNA from 1 species